GUCUCUCUGUCUACCCCUGCUUCCCUUGCUGGACCUGAAAUUGCCUUGCAGGAAUGCCUCAUUCAGUGUGCAGGAUGAACAGUGCUUGGAAUGAAUCAGCACAACACAGUGAAAGAGUCUGUUGUUUGCAAGACUCAUCUCAGUUUUGUUGAGGAAGUUGGGAUAUGUGUUUCGAAUGAGUUGGGAUGUCAAGAAAAGAAAGGAUGGUCUUGUAGCUGAGGAAACUGUGUGUUGCCCUGGAGAAUGAGUUUCUGCCACUGUCUUUGCUAAAAAGAUCCUGUGAGGUUUUACUUAGGAAGGGUUUAAUCAAUGAAGAGUAGGAUCCACACUGCACUUAAAAGCUGCACUGCAGGCUCCAGUCUGCUCAGAUGAACUAUUACUAAAAUAUGAAAACUUCUGGGAAGACUGACUAGAAGGCUUGAAUUUGAGCUUAGUGGGUUUUAGAAAGCUACGAAUCAGAAGACAAUUCUAUUAAUCAAAGGGGUGCUAUGUAGAAGAUGAGUCCGGUCUCUCGCCUCUCCCUCCACUGCCUUGAGAGCUUCCAGCAGCGUUUUGUGAAGUUGCCACACAAUCAGGGCAUUGUUUCGAAGCAAGCAAAGGCAAGGCGUUAUGAUGUUUUUAUAGUAGCUUCCAGUCAGUGUAUGGGGGAAGCGGGAACCCCACGGGAGAUGUUCUGCCCGCGACCUGGAAAUGGCCGGGGCCUGGCGGGCCGGGGGCAGGGGCGGCCCCGGCUCUCACUAGGGGUCGCAGGAUGCCAAAGAAUCACCGCCUGCUCGGAGGGCAGGGAUGCCACCACACGUGUGCGCCUCACCGCCAACGCCAUCGCCUCCCAACUGGGGAGAUUCUUGGAAGAACACCCGCAGGCGUCGGGACCGUGUCGGGGCCGUGCGCUGCCUCUCUCCGGGUGCCCCUGGCUGCUGGCUAAACCCGAGCUGCGCUCGGGACUGAGGGCUGCGUCUGGGGAGAUGGCCCAUCUACUCACUAUUAACUACAGGUGGUGGGUAAUCUCUGAAAAAGGCCUGUCGCUGGGACAGAUGAGAUUAUUUCUGUUGCAGACCUUAACCUGGACAUUGACAGCAGACUUGGUAGGGACUGUUUUCUGUAUUAUGCUCACUAAGUGCUCACUGUUGAAAAUUAAUAAUGAAUGUUAUUUAUAAGGACCAAUCUCUUUCGCGCAGAAUCCUUGCUUGUAGUGUUUUAUCACUUCUCUGGCUAACUCCCUGAUUAGCUCAAUUAUGUGUACGCUGUCUGAAGAACCAGCAUAGGUUACUUCAACAUGAUUCCUUGUUAAUGUUCUGAUACUAAAAUAUCAUCACAUACUUGGUUUCAGAAGAGAAACCCGACUUCCUUGUCUAGUUUGCUACUGCUUUUUAAACCAAACCUCAGACAUGUUCCAACAUCUUUAUUUCCCCAACAAACAGAUAUUCUGUUCCUGUGGUGACACUGACAAUGGAAGUUACAGAAAGAAAUGUAACAAGUGAAAACAACCAAAGAUCCAAAUUUACUGAUGGAGACACCUGGCAAACUGAUCUGUUCAUUAAAGUGAAUGGAACUUGGACAGGAGUAGAGAACUUGUUACAAAUACAUCAAACGGCUGUAUUAAAAUCAAAGGAAAUAUGCAAAUAUAAAAAAACUGUAUUCAAUUGUUUGACAUUUGACACCAAAGAAAUAAUUACUUAUAAAGAGAAAAAUGAACUGACAGUAACAAUUUCUAUAGAGAGCUGAGUGGCAAAGUAAUGGGUUUCAGCAUAUUUGAGAUAGGUUACUCCUCUAACCAUAAUACAAAGAGGAGAAAACAGGUUUAAGAAGGAGGAAAAGUAGUAGUAGGAGAGUUUCCCACAAAAUGAAGGCUGCUUGAAUCAUUUAGAAGUCAUGAUCUCUUGCUUUAAUGUAGGUGAGUCUUAAAACAGGAAUAUUUCUCAUUGUUUUCACUGCUAGCAUUUUGUGCAAAGUUUAUCUGCAAUGUCUGUCCUGCAAACUGCUACUCAUGUCACCCACUGCAAAAGAGGAUCCAUGCAAAUACAAAUUUGGCCAUGCUGUAUGAAGGUAGGGAGCUUUUUAGAUGUUGGAAAUUAAGUGCAGUUUUUAUAUGGUAAGUGCAAUUCUUUAACAAAUAAAAUGCACAUGCACACACACACUUAAAAAAUAAAUCUUACCUGUUGUGCAGUUCUACAUAAUAAUAAACAGGAAUACAAAUGUACACCUUGAUUCUUAUGCUUCGUACUCAAAGAUUCUGAGUUGUUCAUGUAUUCAAUGUUUUAAGCCUGAACUCAAAGUAAGGGCUUCAGUGACUAAUUUGACAAGGGCAUUUCUGC